rnacentral:misc_RNA from 1 species
GAUGAAGAACGUAGCGAAAUGCGAUACUUGGUGUGAAUUGCAGAAUCCCGUGAACCAUCGAGUCUUUGAACGCAAGUUGCGCCUCAAGCCAUUAGGUUGAGGGCACGUCUGCCUGGGCGUCACAUAUCGUUGCCUGAUGCCAGUUUCCUCGUGAUGGGUGACUGUGCAGGGCGAAUGAUGGCUUCCCGUGAGCAUUGUUGCCUCAUGGUUGGUUGAAAAUUGAGUCCUUGGUAGGGAGCGCCGUGAUAGAUGGUGGUUGAGUGACGAACGAGACCCAAUCAUGUGAGACCCCUACCGAAUUUGGCCUUCAUGACCCACCUGCGUCUUUGGAACGCUCAUGACGAGACCUCAGGUCAGGCGGGGCUACCCGCUGAGUUUAAGCAUAUCAAUAAGCGGAGGA